CUACGUGCCAGCAGCCGCGGUAAUACGUAGGUCCCGAGCGUUAUCCGGAUUUAUUGGGCGUAAAGCGAGCGCAGGCGGUUAGAUAAGUCUGAAGUUAAAGGCUGUGGCUUAACCAUAGUACGCUUUGGAAACUGUUUAACUUGAGUGCAAGAGGGGAGAGUGGAAUUCCAUGUGUAGCGGUGAAAUGCGUAGAUAUAUGGAGGAACACCGGUGGCGAAAGCGGCUCUCUGGCUUGUAACUGACGSUGAGGCUCGAAAGCGUGGGGAGCAAACAGGAUUAGAUACCCUGGUAGUCCACGCCGUAAACGAUGAGUGCUAGGUGUUAGACCCUUUCCGGGGUUUAGUGCCGCAGCUAACGCAUUAAGCACUCCGCCUGGGGAGUACGACCGCAAGGUURAAACUCAAAGGAAUUGACGGGGGCCCGCACAAGCGGUGGAGCAUGUGGUUUAAUUCGAWGCAACGCGAAGAACCUUACCAGGUCUU
rnacentral:rRNA from 1 species